AUAAAAAUGGCCCAAAAAGAUAUUACGGCUGUAGUGACCAAACCUAAUACACCCAAGAAAAUCAAAUCUAAUAAGACAGAGAAGAAACAGGAAAAACCUCUAAAGAGCCCACAAAAAAAUAGAACACCAGAAAAGAAAAUGAGUGUUUUAAAGAUUUCUUCUCCUGAACCAAAAGAGGAAGAAUGCGGACUGCAAAA